rnacentral:rRNA from 1 species
CAAGGUANGCCCAGUAGCGGCGAGUGAGCGGCAAGAGCUCAGAUUUGAAAUCGUGUUUCGGCACGAGUUGUAGAGUGUAGGCGGGAGUCUCUGUGGAGCGCGGUGUCCAAGUCCCUUGGAACAGGGUGCCUGAGAGGGUGAGAGCCCCGUAGGGUGCUGCGCGAAGCUUUUGAGGCCCUGCUGACGAGUCGAGUUGUUUGGGAAUGCAGCUCCAAGCGGGUGGUAAAUUCCAUCUAAGGCUAAAUAUUGGCGAGAGACCGAUAGCGAACAAGUACUGUGAAGGAAAGAUGAAAAGCACUUUGAAAAGAGAGUGAAACAGCACGUGAAAUUGUUGAAAGGGAAGGGUAUUGGGCUCGACAUGGGGGGUGCGCACCGCUGUCUCUUGUAGGCGGCGCUCUGGGCGCCCUCUGGGCCAGCAUCGGUUCCUGCUGCGGGAGAAGGGGCUCCGGAAAGUGGCUCUUCGGAGUGUUAUAGCCGGGGCCAGAUGCCGCGUGUGGGGACCGAGGACUGCGGCUUCUGUCUCGGAUGCUGGCAUAACGGCGCAAUACCGCCCGUCUUGAACNACGGACCA